UACGUAGGGGGCAAGCGUUGUCCGGAUUUAUUGGGCGUAAAGAGCGUGUAGGCGGUUUGGUAGGUCCGUUGUGAAAACUCGAGGCUCAACCUCAAGACGCCGAUGGAAACCAUCAGACUAGAGUCCGGAAGAGGAGAGUGGAAUUCCUGGUGUAGCGGUGAAAUGCGCAGAUAUCAGGAAGAACACCCGUGGCUAAGGCGGCUCUCUAGUACGGUACUGACGCUGAGGAGCGAAAGCGUGGGGAGCGAACAGG
rnacentral:rRNA from 1 species